UGGGGAAUCUUGGACAAUGGGCGAAAGCCUGAUGCAGCAACGCCGCGUGCGGGAAGACAGCCCUAGGGUUGUAAACCGCUUUCAGCAGGGAAGAAACUGACGGUACCUGCAGAAGAAGAUGCGGCCAACUACGUGCCAGCAGCCGCGGUGACACGUAGGCAUCAAGCGUUAUCCGGAUUUAUUGGGCGUAAAGAGCUCGUAGGCGGUUCGGUAAGUCGGGUGUGAAAACUCUGGGCUCAACCCAGAGAGGCCACUCGAUACUGCUGUGACUAGAGUGCGGUAGGGGAGCGGGGAAUUCCUGGUGUAGCGGUGAAAUGCGCAGAUAUCAGGAGGAACACCAGUGGCGAAGGCGCUGCUCUGGGCUGUAACUGACGCUGAGGAGCGAAAGCAUGGGUAGCAAACAGGAUUAGAUACCCUGGUAGUCCAUGCCGUAAACGUUGGGCACUAGGUGUGGGUCUCAACCAACGAGAUCCGCGCCGUCGCUAACGCA
rnacentral:rRNA from 1 species